rnacentral:tRNA from 1 species
GGGUUUAUAGUUUAAUAAUAAAAACAUGAGAUUGUUAAUUUCGAGAUGCGUUAAGCUAAAUCUG